UGCAGAGGGAGGUGUUCCCAAAGGAAUAUACCUCAGGCCUAAGGAUCAAGGCGCAACAACUGCCACCGGAACGAAUAGCCAUGUUCCAAGUUCAAACGCGGACACUCCGCUCCAGCUCGAAAUACCGCAUCGGGUUAAAGGCUUGAUCCAUAAAUAAAUAAAAAACAGAAAGCAACAGGAAAGGAGAUCCAAAACGCACGCACGAAGAGAACGUUUCAGCGAAACUCUUCAAGCUCAAAUCGAAUCUCAAGUCGAGUCGAUCCGUCGUCCAUAAACCGCACUCCAAUUCGACCUGGAAAUUGAAUCAUAGAUUCAACCAGAGCUGCAUCCAAAUCCAAUUGCAUCGGUUUCGAUACAGAUGGUGAAAUCACGCAACCGCGAUUCCGAUCGCUCAAUCAAUCUCAAACACCAGCUUCCCGACCGUGUUGUAAUAUGUGAUAAGCGAUUUCACGAUGGAGGUUCCAAUUUCAAUCUCAAUUUCGGUGUGAACCUCCAAGCUCAGAUGAGAAGCAAACGUGCUUAUCCGUAUAAGCGCUUCUUCCACGAACAAUUCGUCAAACGCGAUGCGUCUCUGUUCAGGAUUUUCACGAUGAUUUUGGUUGAUUACGAAUUCUCGGUUUCGGUUGGAUUCAGAAUUAAAAGCCUCGAGUCCGUGUCGAAACGUGAAAUUGGGAAAGACGCAAACAUGUUACAAAUAAGCUCAGAAACACUUACCGGAUCGACGUCGAAGUCAGCGCGAUGACCUCCCUACGAACAAACGGUGAGAGGAUUGAAGCUUUUGCAGGCCAAUAUCCAACUGCGAAAAUAGAGGAUAUUCAGAUUGCAGCAUCAAAUUGCAAAACAAAAAACAGAUUGUAGAAUGGAGAUACGGAAUGCAGCAUGGAGAAACGAAUGGAAAAAUGGAGAAACCAAUUGCAGGAUAUAGAAAAAAAGCCAAUUGCAGAAUGAAGGUUAGCUAUAUGGAUGAGAAUGGCGGGAUGCGAAUAAUGCGGGAAAGCCAAAAAAUCCCCACUCUGAACCACAAUGAGGUCCAAGAUGAUAGAAUGGAUGACGGCAUGACCGAACGAGAGCGGACUUGCAAGGCUUGCUCAUGGAAUUUGGAAAGCUUGGUGCAAAUUUGAAAUGUUGAUAAUUUGAAUCAUGUAUAACUUUGGAAUGUAUUAUAAUUCGGUUUGAAAUUAGUGAAUUAGAAAUUGGUUUUUGUAAUUUGAAAGUUGGUUUGGAGUUUAAUUUUGUAUGUAAAGUGCAAUUGAAUGUUGAAUGGUUCCGCAAGACGUAACGCCUUGUAACAAGCUUGACACAGUGCAGUUUUUGCAUACAAAGGAUAUCUGCUCCUUUUUUGGAACA